rnacentral:rRNA from 1 species
CCUUGUACACACCGCCCGUCAAGUCAUGAAAGUCGGUAAACACCCGAAGCCAGUGGCCCAACCGNAGAGGGAGCUGUCGAAGGUGGGAUCGGUGAUUAGGACU